rnacentral:rRNA from 1 species
GUAGGUGGCAAGCGUUGUCCGGAAUUAUUGGGGCGUAAAGCGCGCGCAGGCGGUUCUUUAAGUCUGAUGUGAAAGCCCACGGGCUCAACCGUGGAGGGUCAUUGGAAACUGGAGAACUUGAGUACAGAAGAGGAAAGCGGAAUUCCACGUGUAGCGGUGAAAUGCGUAGAGAUGUGGAGGAACACCAGUGGCGAAGGCGGCUUUCUGGUCUGUAACUGACGCUGAGGCGCGAAAGCGUGGGGAGCAAACAGGAUUAGAUACCCUGGUAGUCCACGCCGUAAACGAUGAGUGCUAAGUGUUAGGGGGUUCCCGCCCCUUAGUGCUGCAGCUAACGCAUUAAGCACUCCGCCUGGGGAGUACGGCCGCAAAGGCUGA